AACACACAACACACAACACACAAACAUCACAAUGUAUUCAUCCACACAAUGGCAUAGCGUACCCAAAACUAAAAUAACUUUACACCAUGGCAAUAAAAUCUAUAUCUAAACAGUUCAGAAACAUUUAAAUAAAACAUAAAUAUAAACAACAGUUUAGUCUCAAUGUCAUCUUGAGCUAUUAGUCCUAAUGACACUCUGCACUAUCUCCAUUUCUAGGCAGCAUAUGCAUUUUAAACAUCUUGAAGGGCAAAACCAAAUCUAUUUUCCCUCUGAUAUCUUAUUGACCAGUACAUAUUUCCAUCAAUUAGGAAGCAGCGCGAUUAGCAUGCUCAUCCUUAUGUGCUAAUAUUGCCAAGAGCAACCAAUAAACAGUAUCACUGAGAUGUGAGUGUGCUUAGUCAUUGCCCCCUGACGUUGAGGACCUCUUCUAUCCCCUGAGAUGAAAGGGCCCAGAGGCAAGGCCAACCCUUGACCUACAGUAGCAAUGUCGUGUGAUGCUGAUCAUGCAAGAGAGCAGUUCCCCUUAUUACUGGGCUUUCAUGCAAUGCAUUACUUCCCUUUACACAAUUACACUACUAAAGCUAGUUGAGUUUUGUGUUUUCUAUUCUAUUUGUAGUUCUAGUCUGUACUGUUAAAGAGCUCGGAAAAAAGGACCUACUUGUCUGGAUUCUUCACCCUGAAGGUUGCGUUCAGCGCUCUGAGACGAGACUCUGCCUGAGAAAAACAAGAUUGGAUAUCGAUCAGGACAGAAGAAUCUGAAUACAUCAAGAGAUGGCCAACACUGACGCAC